rnacentral:misc_RNA from 1 species
GAUGAAGAACGCAGCGAAAUGCGAUACGUAAUGUGAAUUGCAGAAUUCAGUGAAUCAUCGAGUCUUUGAACGCACAUUGCGCCCCCUGGUAUUCCGGGGGGCAUGCCUGUCCGAGCGUCAUUGCUGCCCUCAAGCACGGCUUGUGUGUUGGGCCUCCGUCCUCCUCCCGGGGGACGGGCCCGAAAGGCAGCGGCGGCACCGCGUCCGGUCCUCGAGCGUAUGGGGCUUCGUCACCCGCUCUUGUANNNNCGGCCGGCGCUUGCCGACACAUCAAUCUUUUUUCCAGGUUGACCUCGGAUCAGGUAGGGAUACCCGCUGAACUUAAGCAUAUCAAUAAGCGGAGGA